GCCUGGGUGGCUCAGUUGGUUGAGCAUCUGACUUCGGCUCAGAUCAUGAUCUCACAGUCUGUGAGUUCAAGCCCCGCGUCGGGCU
rnacentral:tRNA from 1 species